UGGGGAAUCUUGGACAAUGGGCGAAAGCCUGAUCCAGCCAUGCCGCGUGUGUGAAGAAGGUCUUCGGAUUGUAAAGCACUUUAAGUUGGGAGGAAGGGCAGUAAGCGAAUACCUUGCUGUUUUGACGUUACCGACAGAAUAAGCACCGGCUAACUCUGUGCCAGCAGCCGCGGUAAUACAGAGGGUGCAAGCGUUAAUCGGAAUUACUGGGCGUAAAGCGCGCGUAGGUGGUUCGUUAAGUUGAAUGUGAAAGCCCCGGGCUCAACCUGGGAACUGCAUCCAAAACUGGCGAGAUAGAGUAGGGCAGAGGGUGGUGGAAUUUCCUGUGUAGCGGUGAAAUGCGUAGAUAUAGGAAGGGAAACCAGUGGCGAAGGCGACCACCUGGGCUCAUACUGACACUGAGGUGCGAAAGCGUAGGGAGCAAACAGG
rnacentral:rRNA from 1 species